GAACAACUUACCGAAAGGUGAGCUAAUGCCGGAUGAGUUAUAUAAGUGCAUGUUUAUAUAGGAAAAGUUGGGGAGACCUGACGCUGAAAGAUGGACUCGCGUCCCAUUAGCUAGUUGGUAGGGUAAUGGCCUACCAAGGCGACGAUGGGUAGCCGGCCUGAGAGGGUGGCCGGCCACACUGGGACUGAGACACGGCCCAGACUCCUACGGGAGGCAGCAGUGGGGAAUUUUGCGCAAUGCUCGUAAGAGUGACGCAGCGACGCCGCGUGAAUGACGAAGGCCUUCGGGUCGUAAAGUUCUUUCGACAGGGAAGAAAAUGCCUAUAAGUAACUGUGUAUGUAUUGACGGUACCUGUAUAAGCAGCCCCGGCUAACUCCGUGCCAGCAGCCGCGGUAAUACGGAGGGGGCGAGCGUUGUUCGGAGUGACUGGGCGUAAAGAGCACGUAGGCGGUGUUGUAAGUCAUUAGUCAAAGACUAGAGCUCAACUUUAGUAAGGCUAGUGAUACUAUAAUACUAGAGUAUCAGAGAGGAUUGCAGAAUUCCUGGUGUAGCGGUGAAAUGCGUAGAUAUCAGGAGGAAUACCGUUAGCGAAGGCGGCAAUCUGGCUGGAAACUGACGCUGAGGUGCGAAAGCGUGGGUAGCAAACAGGAUUAGAUACCCUGGUAGUCCACGCUGUAAACGAUGGAUGCUAGGUGUUGGGCUUUUAAGUUCAGU
rnacentral:rRNA from 1 species